UCGGGGACUUAACCGAAUUUUCGAGUCGCGGCAAAGUCGAACUCUGUCUAUUUUGUAUAGUGUGUGUAGGUGCGUUGAUCAAGUUGCAAGUUUCUACCAAGUUCAAGUGCAUUCCAUCAUGUGUGAUCCUGAUUGAAAUAAUACAGUGUCAACUGUGUCACAACUGUGUCUCGUCAGUUGUAUCGUCAGUUUGUGGAAAAGAGAAAUGCAUCGAAGACCACGCGUGAAAUAAUCUACGCACAAACAUAAACCCGGCUGGACCCACCGACAAUGUGUGUACGCGGAACAAUGUGUUCGACGGAUGCCACUACCGCCACCAACGCAGACCUCACACACAGCCAACGCUGCAUAGCGCCAGGAAUGCACGAAUAGGUAGGGAAGUGAAACCGUGAAAUAGACGAGUGAGCGAA